CCCCCGCCGCAGCGGCCGCGACAGCAGCUUGGGGAAACAGCCCUCGGUGACACGGGGCCCGGAGCCGGGGGGAGGCUGUAGCCCCUGGCCCUGCCACUGGCCCAGACACACGUCUUCAGCAGUUUAUUUUUUUUUCCACCAGAGUGCAGAUCAAUCUUCUCACGUAGGACACAGAAUACACAUCGGGGAAGGAAUAGCAGCAUUUCAAGGUCUGAAGGGACAAAAAAGUAGCUGACUUGGCUUCUACCAA